rnacentral:rRNA from 1 species
GUCCACGCUGUAAACGAUGGGCACUAGGUGUGGGAGGUGUCGACUCCUCCCGUGCCGUAGCUAACGCAUUAAGUGCCCCGCCUGGGGAGUACGGCCGCAAGGCUAAAACUCAAAGGAAUUGACGGGGACCCGCACAAGCAGCGGAGCAUGUGGUUCAAUUCGACGCAACGCGAAGAACCUUACCUGGGCUUGACAUGUUGGUGACAGCCGUGGAAACACGGUCUCCCUUCGGGGCACCUUCACAGGUGGUGCAUGGCUGUCGU